GUAGGGUGCAAGCGUUAAUCGGAAUUACUGGGCGUAAAGCGUGCGCAGGCGGUUUUGUAAGUCAGAUGUGAAAUCCCCGGGCUUAACCUGGGAACUGCGUUUGAAACUACAAGGCUAGAGUGUGGCAGAGGGGGGUGGAAUUCCACGUGUAGCAGUGAAAUGCGUAGAGAUGUGGAGGAACACCGAUGGCGAAGGCAGCCCCCUGGGUUAACACUGACGCUCAGGCACGAAAGCGUGGGGAGCAAACAGGAUUAGAUACCCUGGUAGUCCACGCCCUAAACGAUGUCAACUAGUUGUCGGGUCUUAACGGACUUGGUAACGCAGCUAACGCGUGAAGUUGACCGCCUGGGGAGUACGGUNNNAANNNUA
rnacentral:rRNA from 1 species